GACGUAGGGGGCGAGCGUUGCCCGGAUUCACUGGGCGUAAAGCGCGUGUAGGCGGUCCGUUAAGUCAGGUGUGAAAUCCCACGGCUCAACCGUGGAAUUGCAUCCGAUACUGGUGGACUUGAGGACGGUAGAGGCCGGUGGAAUUCCCGGUGUACCGGUGAAAUGGGCAGAUAUCGGGAGGAACACCAGUGGCGAAGGCGGCCGGCUGGGCCGAUCCUGACGCUGAGACGCGAAAGCCAGGGUAGCGAACCGG
rnacentral:misc_RNA from 1 species